GAUGAACGCUGGCGGUGUGCCUAAUACAUGCAAGUCGAGCGAAAAGAUGAUGAGCUCUCUCCUCUAAGGUUAGCGAGUGGCGGACGGGUAAGACGUGCAUCAGCUACUACUAAGACUUGGGUGAUAUCGGGGGAACGCAUCCACUAACGGCUCAUAUAUUGUACGGCUUGGAUCAAUAGUGAAUGACACCUUUGCUGACACUUUUAGCUGAAUUCGCGCCGGAUUAGCUAGUUGGUAAGGUAACGGCCUACCAAGGCUACGAUGCGUAGCCGACCUGAGAGGAUGAUCAGCCACACUGGAACUGAGACACGGUCCAGACUCCUACGGGAGGCAGCAGUAGGGAAUAUUCCACAAUGGGCGAAAGCCUGACGGAGCAACGCCGCGUGAGUGAUGAAGGUCUUCGGGUCGUAAAACUCUUUUAUUAGGGAAGAACAAAAGUGUAUGUAUCUAUGCACGUCUUGACGGUACCUAAACAGAAAGCCACGGCUAACUUCGUG
rnacentral:rRNA from 1 species